ACUCCUACGGGAGGCAGCAGUGGGGAAUAUUGCACAAUGGGCGCAAGCCUGAUGCAGCCAUGCCGCGUGUAUGAAGAAGGCCUUCGGGUUGUAAAGUACUUUCAGCGGGGAGGAAGGCGAUAAGGUUAAUAACCUUGUUGAUUGACGUUACCCGCAGAAGAAGCACCGGCUAACUCCGUGCCAGCAGCCGCGGUAAUACGGAGGGUGCAAGCGUUAAUCGGAAUUACUGGGCGUAAAGCGCACGCAGGCGGUCUGUCAAGUCGGAUGUGAAAUCCCCGGGCUCAACCUGGGAACUGCAUUCGAAACUGGCAGGCUAGAGUCUUGUAGAGGGGGGUAGAAUUCCAGGUGUAGCGGUGAAAUGCGUAGAGAUCUGGAGGAAUACCGGUGGCGAAGGCGGCCCCCUGGACAAAGACUGACGCUCAGGUGCGAAAGCGUGGGGAGCAAACAGGAUUAGAUACCCUAGUAGUCCC
rnacentral:rRNA from 1 species